rnacentral:rRNA from 1 species
UACGUAGGGUGCGAGCGUUGUUCGGAAUUACUGGGCGUAAAGGGCUCGUAGGUGGCCAACUAAGUCAGACGUGAAAUCCCUCGGCUUAACCGGGGAACUGCGUCUGAUACUGGAUGGCUUGAGUUCGGGAGAGGGAUGCGGAAUUCCAGGUGUAGCGGUGAAAUGCGUAGAUAUCGGGAGGAACACCAGUGGCGAAGGCGGCGACCUGGUCCGAGACUGACGCUGAGGCGCGAAAGCGUGGGGAGCAAACAGG